rnacentral:rRNA from 1 species
UGCGUAGGCGGUUUAAUAAGUCAGAGGUGAAAGCCCGCAGCUCAACUGUGGAAUUGCCUUUGAUACUGUUAGACUUGAAUCAGGUUGAGGUUGGCGGAAUGUGGCAUGUAGCGGUGAAAUGCAUAGAUAUGCCAUAGAACACCAAUUGCGAAGGCAGCUGACUAGACCUGUAUUGACGCUGAGGCACGAAAGCGUGGGGAGCGAACAGGAUUAGAUACCCUGGUAGUC